rnacentral:sRNA from 1 species
AAAAAACCUAAUUAAAAUGUAAUUAGAUAAUUUUCCAUUUUCCCCUUCCUCUCUCCAACACUUUCAAUAAUAACUCACUCUCCCUCAAGCUCAUGGCCCAUUUGUCUUUGUUAGUUACACGUAAGUGUAAACACGGAAAGAUAUAAAUGUAAUCUGCUGAGCCUGCCUAGUGUGGCUUGUGUGCAGAUUGUUUUGGGGCAGAACACUUGGCAUUGGAUAAGCAAUUAUGGAGCCCAGUGAAGUUUCCUCCUCCAUGUUAGCAUGUCUGUUGAAACGGUCAUUGUUCAGGUCCUGUUUAGGCAGAUGUGUAACCAGACUUUUGGCAACUUUUUGGGUUCCUAUUUUUCUACCACCCUACUCCACCCUAUCCCUUCCAACACCCCCCCCAACACUACGUAGGAGAGAAAGAAGGUUAAAGGGGAAAGGGGACAUUGAUAUUAUUAGACUACUUCCUGCUGAUUAGGGACAUUGAGUUCCUUGGGGCAGUUUUAAACUUUGUCAUCAGGAUGUCUCCAACCAGCAACCAAUAACCAAAAACCAACAACCAGCAGCAGCCACACCCCUCUCAGACUCUUGCCUUUAUAUACCUCUCCUAAGAGUCUCCAGAAUUCCAAAUGUCAUACACGUUCAGAAAGUAUUUGCAGCUGGAAAAACCAUGCCCCUGCUCAAGCACACAGGCCGCUGCCUUGGAUAAUCUGAAUCAGUCCUAUAUCCCAUACCUGGGAUUAAAACAAAAACAUAUUCCCGUAAUUUUUCUAUAUCUUUAAAUUAAACAAAAUUCUUAUACACAGAUGCAUUGUGCCCUCAUAUGCACUGAUCAAUGUCUCUGUCCCACACCUAGACCCUAAUGACACCUUAGUCUAUCGAUGAGUGGGUAGUACUCAUAAGGAAGGGGACUUUGAGUUGUACCUGUAGGCAUUGAAGUGAGGGGAGACUGUGACUCUGAACUACCCAGUCUGCGGAGGGGACUCACAGAACAAGCCUCAGAUGUAUAAGAACCUGACUACUUCCAGGACUUUGGGCACUCCUGUUGUUACCUAGAAACUAUGAGUAAUCUCUUCUCACAAUCUUGUAGGGGGUGAGAACCUGAGGUCACUCGGGGCAGCUGUAUUUGUUUGCUUUGACUGUACAGCUCAUUGGCUGUAACAAUAGCAUUAGUCACUGUGGCCACUAACAUGUAUCAGAAUGUUACUGGAACCCAAGAGGCAAUUUCAAGUCAGAUCUGUGAGAGUAUAUGAACCUUAUCACUUAAACGAAAGAAACUUUGGCAAAUUGAAAUGGUUUGUCUCAUACUCUGCCUCGGGAUGCCAGGUUCAAUAAGUUACUGUUACUACAUCGAAGCUGUGUUAAGAUUGGUGACUCCCACAUUGGAGCAUGUAUCAGAAUCAUUUCCAAGACUUUACCCAUGAGUCUGAUGUAUAGGCCAUGGCCUUGUUUCCCUAAUCUUUCCCCAUGUGCAGAUGUCUUUGGGCUUCCUAGGAACCUGCAUUGCAUUCCUGCUGCUUUCUCAACAAUCAGAUAUCAGGGAGGUCCAGCAGGUUCAAGCAGUGUACAAUGAACUGGAUUUGGAGCAGUAAAGAUCUUAGAACAAUACCAGGGAACACUUAGUAGCUCAUGCUAAUACAGAGCACCAGUAAGUGUUUCUUCAUCCAUGGAAGACAAAUUAUUAUCCUAAAUGAAAUUACUCAAGGGGUCCACAUCCUCUCAAUUAUAUCUGUGGGGGAAGGGAAGCAAGUUUAAUCUUUGACUUGGAGAUCCAGUGAUUCUAGGUGGGAUUGGGAAAAAGAAAAGGGAACAGAAAAGGCAGAAAAUGAGGCACUGCCAAGCAGAGGCAAUGAACAUCUUCCAAGUGCCAUUGCACUUAUAAAAAACAACAGUUGCACAGUUGGAACUCCUAUGCUAUGUUGAUGUCCCCUGCACAUGGUUUUGAACGUCAUCAUGGUGGGUGCAAUGCCACAGAGUGACAGAAGAGACAAUGUCAGACAAGCAGCCUUUGUCAUGACUGCAGAGUGGCUCUUUUGGUUCUGUUAGAGAAUCACCAAGCCUGUAAUUAUGAUGGGAAAUGUCUAAGUAAUUAAUUGUUAUUUUUUAAAUCUAUUUAUUGCUACUGUGUGUGUGUGUGUGUGUGUGUGUGUGUGUGUGUGUGUGUGUGUGUGUGUGGUGGGCAUGAGGCACAUGCCACAAAGCACACGUGGAAAUCUAAGGACAAUUUUGAGGGGACAGUUUUUCUUUGCACCUGUAAGUGGGUUCUGGGGAUCAGACUUAAGAUCUCCAGGCUUGCAAGGCAAGUAAAUGCCUUCAUCCUUUGAGCCACCUCAUUGGCUUAAAUUCUUUUUAUUUCCCUAAAGAAAUAAUGUCUUCUUUCCCCCAAGCCACAGUUAGAGAUAAUAUGAAGGCAAGAUGUCAAACAUUUGCUAAAGUAAGACUUUCGCUAUUGCCAAGGGAGAACUUAAAGAUACCAAAGAAUUUGGGAAGGAAAACUCAGAGCCGCCUUGCAGUGUUUUGUGGCAGCCUGUGCUCUUCUGGCUUCUGCGGAAACUCGGGGUGGAUGAUGCCCGGUAGCUUCUGAUUUACCUUCUGCGCUGCAGACUGUAGAGGGAGCAGGUGCCUCAUACAGAAACAGCAGAUUGACACACGGUGAAGUGAAUGUCCCUGCUGAGUACCCACUCACCUAGGGGACCACAGCAGUGGCAGGGCCACACACAGCAGAGCGCCGGCCAGCAGAACCAGAGCCCAGGCCUCCGGGUCCGCCCAGAUGAGUGAUCAUCCGAGAAUUGAUUUCCAUCCACACCGCCCAGCUUAGGAGAGGGGGUGGGAUGCAGACUGUGAUGCAGUAAUGCUUCUGGGCCAUGGCAGUUACUUGGGGACAGCAGGCUAACCUGGUUGUCUGAGCUUCGGAGGCUGCUGGCUCUCAAGAGAGAAUAGCAAGCUCUUCUUUCUAGUAGCAAUGAGAUAGGAGAACAAUUGCUGUUUUUCUUGAUGAGACAGACCCUUUGUGGUUCAGUCAGCAAAAUAAAGUUAUCCGGUUAUUUCAAAGUACUGUGUAGUAAGGUCUUGUAGAGGAACAGAACAAAUAGUAAAUACAUGCAUGCAUGCACAUACAUAUACACAUACAUACACACAUACUACAUACAUACAUGGAUUUAUUGAAUUGGCUUACAUGAUUAGAGGCUGGAUAUUUCAACAAUGGAUGUCUGCAGAGAACCCAGUAGUUUCUCAGUCCAAGAAACCAGAAGGGUGAGGGACAGUGAGGUAGCCCCGGUAUGACGCUGAAAGCCUGCGGGCACCCUGGGGAGCUGUUUGUGUGAAUCUGUAUGGAAAGGUUGACGGAGGUGAAGUCUGCAUGUCUGAUGCCAGCAUCGAUAGACAGACACUCUUGCUCCAGAGGAGUGGAGCUUGCAUUCUCCGAUGCCUGGGAACCCAGGUUCCCAACCUGCUGGAUGCCACUGCUCACAUGCAGGGAGAGAUUUCCCCUUUCCCUGCAUCCGUUUUUUCUCUCACAUAUGGGUCCUUUCUGGAAAUGCCAGACAACACCUAGACCUGUGUUUACUGAUCCUCUUAGGUUCUCCCAAUGCAGUCAUGUUGACUAUUGAGAUUAGCCACUACAGUGUUAAAUUAUUCAGUGUGAAAAGUUAGAGAUGUACAUAAAGUUCCACUCAACUAAAAGUCACUCAAUUUUGAAGCAUGUUUGAACUAUUUGUUGGCACAGAACCAUUACAGGGUACGUGUGGGAGCAUCAGGUAUGCCCGAUGUCCAUGCUUUCAGGGAGCUUCCGAAUGGGUAGAUAUGUUGGUACAUCCAGAUGGGUUGGCAUGGACACACAGUGACAGGGUGUGGGAUGUACCAGUGUGCUUCUCACACUGCUGGGAGUGUUAGGUCCUUUAGAUAGACAUUCCACCCCUCCGAGAGGUUCUAGCUCAGUAGGAGCCCAGCAGGCUAUAUUAUUAACUAGUCUUGGUGAUUCUAGUCCAGGACCCACACUUUGGUAACCACCAGACUUCAAAGCCAGGCCCAGACAUGUUGUCACUGCUAGCUAAGACCUUCAAACGUGCUUAUAUUGGAUACAUUUUGAUAAAUUGAGCAAAGUUUUAAAUAAAGUGCCACACAUUCAAAUUGUGAUAUUUACAACCUAGAAAGUUUUUUUUUACAUACGCAUUAUACUAAAUUGAAAGAAUUAAGCAUUUUGACCCAGAAACCUUUGCUUAGGACUUUAUCUCAGAGUUAUAUGUAAAAACAAACACAAACCAAUACCCUUACCACAGAGUUCCAUAUAAUAGUAGAAAACUGGGUUCAAUAAAUGCUUAUCCACUGUGGCCAGUGCACCUUCAACAGACGUUCUGUGCAGAAUGAUGCGGGAGCUGAAUCUUCACAGGCGAGAAACGUGCGUCAUAAAAGCUGAAGUGUGCAAAGCUGUAUUUGAUACAGGUGUACACGCUCACCAUAAAAAUCCUGACAUGCUGAUUUUUCCCCCGAACCUCUUGCUUUCUCUGUGUCUUUUAUCUUGUCUCCAGUGAACAUGAAGGACUUGAGUGAUUCUUUUCAGCCGACAGAGAGGGAGAUGGUGCCAUUUUGUUUUUAUUUCUCAGUCUUCAAUCUAACCCAAACUUAAUGCUUCAGAAGAAAGCAGGUUUCGCUUCCGAGGCUAAGUUUCUCUACACUGGCAGAAUAGAAUGCUGAGCCUGCAUGCACUAGCUGUUCUCUGGUGGAGAGGCUACAAUUAGGUAUCUUCUCCUCUCCUUCUGAUUUGAUUACAGCAUAUUCAUCCAAAACCAGAUAUAUCCCCUUCUCUUUUUAUUGAUACGGCUGUUCACAGAGGUCACUUCUAGUAUAUUCAAAGGGAAAUGAAGAUUCCCAAAGCCCCAAUCUAAUGCUGCAGUCUUCUGUAAGAUUCAGUUGAAAGUUUGACGUGGGAAGCAUCCUUGUAGAAACUAGAUGUUUACCCAUUUCCUGCCUUUUGGUACUUACCAUGGCCCCUCUGAGAUGAGAGAGGAGUUUACUUUUCCAGGCUGACCUACUUUCCCUCUGACAACUUGAUGUUGGUAUAGACACUGGGGUGCUGUUUGUUUUUGAGAAGAUCAAUGGUGGCAGGUGCCCUAGGGACGAGGGAGGCAGUGUAAAUUUUUAUUUGGCCUUUACCAACAAUAAUGUACACACAUCUGUGCACAGAGAGAGACCUUUGUUUAAUUUUUAUCACAAUUCUAAUAGAUAGCUUUAUUUGCAGAGAUGAGGAAACUGAGUCACAGCGUCAGGACCCCGCUCACACACUCAUCUGUGGUAUCCCAGGUACCACUAGUAGAAGGCACUGAAGAAUGUUGUCACCUGGGUCAUCUUUCCCCUUCCCCCCUACUGGCUGUGUCCACAGACUCCUAAUGUGACUUGGCUUUGACACAGUGUCUGCACCAGGGCUGCCACUGACUUCCUUAUGUGAUGACUUCCAUUCUGUGUCAUCAUCUCUGAGAGAGCUGGAAUGGGUGCACGGUGAUACGCAUGGACACACCAUCCUUUUUACCACAUAUUCAAAAAAUUCCAAGACAGCUGUCUCCAUUCCCCAAGCCUCCCCUGCUUCACCUAAUGUGCCAUGUUUAGGGGGCUGGCUUCUACAGGAAGGAGUCUUUGACACGUAGUGAUCUGACUGGGUUGGAUACUUAUGUGUAAGUGUUCUUGAUCCUUGGGGCCACAAGAGCAAGGAACACAGGAUGAGGCCAAGGGGAAGCUAAGCAGGGCCACAACCCUGACAACCCAUAGCCAAACUCAGGGGGAGCUCUGGAACCCCACUUGUCCUCACAGGCCUCAUGGUCAGCUUUCUGCUUCUACCAAGACCAGUCAUUAAAUGUGGGCCACCUGAGAGGGCACAGCACGAGGGAGGCAGCUUUAUGCUGUUCUAGAAAGGGCCACCAUUGAGGGUGGUCUGCAGCUGAGGCAGCAUAUCCAAACCUACUUGAAGGUAGAUCUGAAUAAUAAAUUCCCUCCUUGGGGUGUUGGAGCGACAUAGCAAAGACAGGCAGCCUACUUUGCCAAUUUUAGGCAAUUUGAUUGCUACCCUAAAUUCACCAUCAGCACAGGAAAAGCUCAAGAAAAAAAAAAA